CAUUACAGUUUUCCGCUAUAUUUAGAUAUAGUUCGGAACGCAAUUGAUGGUUCAACGAGAGAACUUAUUUGCUGAAAAGUUUUCAAAACAAGUUCUCUUAUUAGACUAUCAACUGCGUUCCGAACUAUAUUGAAAACAUAACGAACAACUUUAUUGAUAUCCAUGACUGUAAACUGAUUUUGUUCAAAUUUGUAUAAUAAAAAACUAUGUGUUACUAACUACUUAUAGGUUUUAGCUGCACUGCGUUUUUUUCCUAUAGGUUCGUAUCAAAAAGAUAUUGGUAAUGAUUAUCUAAUAUCUAUAUCACAACCAGCAACUAGCAGAGCAAUAAAAGCAGUAGCGAUGGGAUUGCAGUAUCACGCAAUUGCUUGCCAUUGAGUGAAGCAAAUUCCCAAACACAGAGGAAAAACGAGCAGCUUUAAAAGAAAAAUUUCAAAAGGAAAGGAAUUUUAAAGGAAUAAUAGGUUGCAUAGAUUGCACUCAUGUGAGACCAAAACAUCACGAGGAAUCAUAUAUAAACCUUAAAAGGUUUCCAUUCAAUUAAUAUACAGGCAAUAGCGUCACACGAUUUGGAAAUCUUAAAUGUCAAUGCUAGAUUACCUGGAAGUGUCCAUGACAGCUUUAUAUGGAGACAUUCUACCAUAAGGGACGAAAUGCAACGAUUAUAUAAUUCUGGAGAUCGAACAACAUGGUUUUUGGGCGAUGCAGGUUACGGUUUGGAACCUUGGCUGAUGACACCUAUCACAGAUGCACCAGAGCUACA